AUUGAACGCUGGCGGCAUGCCUUACACAUGCAAGUCGAACGGCAGCACGGGUGCUUGCACCUGGUGGCGAGUGGCAAACGGGUGAGUAAUAUAUCGGAACGUACCUUAUUGUGGGGGAUAACGCAGCGAAAGCUGUGCUAAUACCGCAUAAUCCCUAAGGGGGAAAGCGGGGGACCGUAAGGCCUCGCGCAAUUAGAGCGGCCGAUACCUGAUUAGCUAGUUGGUGAGGUAAAGGCUCACCGAGGCAACGAUCAGUAGCUGGUCUGAGAGGACGAUCAGCCACACUGGGACUGAGACACGGCCCAGACUCCUACGGGAGGCAGCAGUGGGGAAUUUUGGACAAUGGGGGCAACCCUGAUCCAGCAAUGCCGCGUGAGUGAAGAAGGCCUUCGGGUUGUAAAGCUCUUUUGUCAGGGAAGAAACAACAGCUCUAACACAGUUUGCGAAUGACGGUACCUGAAGAAUAAGCACCGGCUACUACGUGCCAGCCGCCGCGGUAA
rnacentral:rRNA from 1 species